rnacentral:rRNA from 1 species
ACUCCUACGGGAGGCAGCAGUGGGGAAUAUUGGACAAUGGGGGGAACCCUGAUCCAGCCAUGCCGCGUGUGUGAAGAAGGCCUUAUGGUUGUAAAGCACUUUAAGCGAGGAGGAGGCUACUGAGACUAAUACUCUUGGAUAGUGGACGUUACUCGCAGAAUAAGCACCGGCUAACUCUGUGCCAGCAGCCGCGGUAAUACGGAGGGUGCGAGCGUUAAUCGGAAUUACUGGGCGUAAAGCGCAUGCAGGUGGUUUGUUAAGUCAGAUGUGAAAGCCCGGGGCUCAACCUCGGAAUAGCAUUUGAAACUGGCAGACUAGAGUACUGUAGAGGGGGUGAGAAGUUUCAGGUGUAGCGGUGAAAUGCGUAGAGAUCUGAAGGAAUACCGGUGGCGAAGGCGGCCCCUGCGCAGAUACUGACACUCAGAUGC